rnacentral:rRNA from 1 species
CCCGAGAUGAGUUCUCCCUGAGACUUUAAGUCUCCUGAAGGAACGUUGAAGACGACGACGUUGAUAGGCCGGGUGUGUAAGCGCAGCGAUGCGUUGAGCUAACCGGUACUAAUGAACCGUGAGGCUUAACCUUA